UACGUAGGGGGCGAGCGUUGUCCGGAUUUAUUGGGCGUAAAGAGCUCGUAGGCCGUUCGGUAAGUCAGAUGUGAAAACUCCAGGCUCAACUUGGAGAGGCCAUCUGAUACUGCUGUGACUAGAGUCCGGUAGGGGAGCACGGAAUUCCUGGUGUAGCGGUGAAAUGCGCAGAUAUCUGGAGGAACACCAGCGGCGAAGGCGGCGAUCUGGGCCUGUACUGACACUGAGGAGCGAAAGCGUGGGGAGCAAACAGG
rnacentral:rRNA from 1 species